AGAGGCUUAUGAUGAUUAAAAUUGCCUACAUUGUCAGACCUUCCCUCUGAUGAUAUGAAAAUAACAAAUCUGAGGCCGGA